CGGCUCAGUAACACGUGGAUAACCUACCCUUGAGACGGGGAUAAACCCGGGAAACUGGGUAUAAUACCCGAUAGAUCUCGACUGCUGGAAUGCAUCGAGCUUGAAAGCUCCGGCGCUCAAGGAUGGGUCUGCGGCCUAUCAGGUAGUAGUGGGUGUAGCGUACCUACUAGCCUACGACGGGUACGGGUUGUGAGAGCAAGAGCCCGGAGAUGGAUUCUGAGACACGAAUCCAGGCCCUACGGGGUGCAGCAGGCGCGAAAACUUUACAAUGCUGGAAACAGCGAUAAGGGGACCUCGAGUGCCAGGUUACAAAUCUGGCUGUCGUGAUGCCUAAAAAGCAUUGCAUAGCAAGGGCCGGGCAAGACCGGUGCCAGCCGCCGCGGUAACACCGGCGGCUCGAGUGGUAACCGUUAUUAUUGGGUCUAAAGGGUCUGUAGCCGGCCGGAUAAGUCUCUUGGGAAAUCUGGCAGCUUAACUGUCAGGCUUUCAGGAGAUACUGUCUGGCUCGAGGCCGGGAGAGGUGAGAGGUACUUCAGGGGUAGGGGUGAAAUCUUGUAAUCCUUGAAGG
rnacentral:rRNA from 1 species